rnacentral:rRNA from 1 species
GACGAACGCUGGCGGCGUGCUUAACACAUGCAAGUCGAACGGAAAGGCUCCAGCUUGCUGGAGUGAUCGAGUGGCGAACGGGUGAGUAACACGUGGGCAAUCUGCCCUGCAUUCUGGGAUAAGCUUGGGAAACUGGGCCUAAUACCGGAUAGGACCUUUCCCCCCAUGGGGUUUGGUGGAAAGUGUUUCGGUGCAGGAUGAGCUCGCGGCCUAUCAGCUUGUCGGUGGGGUAAUGGCCUACCAAGGCGACGCCGGGUAGCCGGCCUGAGAGGGUGAUCGGCCACAUUGGGACUGAGAUACGGCGCAGACUCCAACGGGAGGCAGCGGUGGGGAGUAUUACACAGUGAGCGAGAGCCUGAUGCAACGACGCCGCGUGUGGGAAGACGGCCUUCUGGUUGUAAACCUCUUUCAGUAGAGACGAAGCGCAAGUGACGGUACCUGCAGAAGAAGCACCGGCUAACUACGUG